CGGACACCUUCACCUCCUCUCUCUCACACCGAAAUCCAACAUCUUGGGCUGGGGCUGAGCUGAGCCACACUGCUGGGGGGCCCGAUGGGGGGGAGGGGGCUGCAGGAAACCCACCCUGCCCUGCUCUGAUGGGAUUCCCCACACAAAACCCCACAGCCCACGUGCCCUCCUCACCCCCGCGCCCAUCUCUGCUCCUUCUCCCAUCCGAGGUGUUUAUUUAAUUGUUUUCCCCACUCCUCGGUGGCAGCGCUUCCCUGCCAUUAAACCCUGCCAUCCGCGUUCUGACUGCGUAAUUUAAAGCUAUAGUUAAAUUAUGACUUCUCUGAACCUGUUGUGGCACUGACGCAUAACCCUAAUUAAAUGAUCACAUCCAUUCUAAAGCCAGUCUUUUCUCCCCUCAAACGUUAAUUACAACAUAAGAGGCUUUAAUGGCUCGCCUCACCUCCAGCUCCUCGAAAGAAAGGUCAUGCGAUUAAUUUUCGUCAUUAAUCUUUUCCCAAUGUGGACAUUGUGCUGUCACUGGAGCCUAUUAAACCCCCUUUGUCCCCCUCCCCUUCUUCUCCCUUCUCUCCCCUUCUUUCCUCCCCCCCAUCCCUAAGUGAACGAGAGAACAAAAAUAUUUAAGCUUCACUUUGGCUCUGGUGCUACUUCAGGUGAGCAGGGCUGGGGUGGUGGAUAGGAGAUGUCCUACAUCCCACAUCCCCCAUCCAACACUUCAUGCCCUGUGUCCCAUGUUCCACGUUCCACAUCCCACAUCCCAAGUCCCAUCUCAUCCAAUGUCCUGCAUCCCAUGUUUCAUGUCCCACAUUCCACGUCCCACGUAUCACACCUCAUGUCCUACAUCCCAUGUCCCACAUCCCAUGUCCUACUUCCCACAUCCCAUGUUCCAUAUCCCACAUUCCACAUCCCAUGUCCUAUGUCCCAUGUCCUACUUCCCAUGUCCUACAUCUCACAUCCUUUGUUCUGUGUUCCACAUUCCAUGUUCUAUGUCUCCCAUUCCACAUCUUGUGGCCCAUGUCCAACAUUUCAUGUUCUAUGUCCCACGUCAAGUGUCCAGCAUCCACAUCCUAUGUCACGUGUCCCACAUCCCAAGUUUCACAUCCCAUGUCCCAUGUCCCAUGUCCUAUGUCCCAUGUUCCAUGUCCCACAUCUCACGUUCCUCAUUCAACAUCCCAUGUUCUAUGCCCCAGGUCCCAUACUCCAUGUUCAACAUCCCAUUUCUUACAUUGCAUGUUCCAUAUCCCACAUCACACAUCCCAUACCCCAUGUCCUAUGUUCCAUGUCCCAUAUCCCCCAUUCCACAUUCCACAUCUCAGGUCCCACAUUCUACAUUCAGUUUUGCACGUUCCAUGUCCUACAUCCCAUGGCUCACAUCCUGCAUACCACUUCAGCAUCACGUCCUAUAUUCCACGUCCCAAAUACCAGAUUCAGCAUGCUACAUCCGACAUCCCAUAUCCAGCAUCCUAUGUCCCACAUCCCACAUCCCAUGUCCUACAUCCCAUAUCCCACAUACCACAUUCAGCAUCCUGUGUCCUGUGGCCUACGUCCCAAAUACAAUGUUCAACAUCCUACGUUCCAUGUUCCAAGUCCCACAUCACACAUCCCAUGUCCCAUGUUCCAUGUUCCAUGUUCCAUAUCCCACAUCCCAAAUCACACAUCCUGUGUCCAGCAUCCCAUGUCCUACAUCUCACAUCCCACGUGCCACAUUCAGCAUCCCGUAUCUGACAUCCCACAUCUCAAAUACCACGUUCAACAUCCCACAUCCUACAUUCAAUGUCCCACAUCCCACGUCCUACAUCCCAUCUCCCACAUCCCACCAGCACCACCCCAAGAGCAACCCGAGGACAAAUACAAUUUUGGAGUGCUGGGGACCCCCUUGAAUGCAGCAGAGCAAAGCCAACACCUCGGUAGCAGAGCUGUGCACCCAGCCCUGCCAAAGGGCCUGCAGCAGGCCCCUUUUUUCCCCCCUUUUCAGAGGAAGUGGGCAUUUUUCCUAAACUCCACAAAAUUCCUUCGGCGAGUUAAUC
ensembl:lncRNA